rnacentral:lncRNA from 1 species
AGAACAAGAGCGAGAAGCACGGAGGCACGGGUCACUCUUUCAGACUUCCCAGUGGGAACUUGGCACCUUGGAUAAACAAAGGCACUGGCGGGAAGGAGAGCUAGAAAUCAGCGGAGGGGGCUGGCGGGCCACAGCCAAGGCAGGGACAGUGAGAAGAGAAAGCCUGGGCCCUGGGGUCCGUGGUUCUCUUCUCCAACCACCUUUGAGUCCCUCUCUCUGAAACAAGGCUCGUGAGGACGCCCUCUGGCCUGGGAGGCAUGGGUGAGCCUGAAGCACCCUGAGAGCAGUGAACACAGGUUUUGCACUUGCAACUGGGAGGAAGUCAGCAGCACUGGGAGCAAUGGGGCUUGAGGGUGGGAGAGACCUUCUUGCCAAACCCCUUCCCAGGCUCUCUGACUCUCUAGGAACGGAGAGAGAGAAUGCCUUGGCCAGUUUCCUGCAAUUCAGUCAGUGGAGCCAGGGCCCCGGCGGCGAGGGCUCCCUCUGAGAAAACAAAUACAUGAGAGACAAGGACAAGAAGGAGGAAACGCCAGCUAGGAAACUCCAAAGGGAUCAGCGGCUAAGCUCACGGGGACACUGCUUGGGAGCAGGAAGUACCCUGCUGGCUUCCUAAUGAAAGUAAACUCCUCAAAAGCAGCCCUCACCUCAGACAAAAAGCAGAAGGAAGUUGAACACUGAUUUAAGGGUAGUAUAUAGAUUCCUUAUGUUAUGUAGGGAGAUGUGAAGUACAUGAAAACAAACAUAUUAUUUGACAUAAAUACUCAGUUUGACCUGUACCUAGUGGUGCGCCUUAUCAUUAUACUGGUAACUGAGUCUUAAAAGCAGGAUUCUGGAACGCCAUUCUGGCUUGCAUGUUUGAUUCUGUGAAAGGUAUUUGGGAACUGAAAUUCUGUCUCAUUUCCCCACUAAACUCGCACUGGUUAUUCAUGAUUUUCUGAAAUUGAGCAGGACCAAUAUCUGAUGUCUGCAAAUGGUUCAUAUAUACAGAAGAGCUGAGAAGAUUGCUGAAAUGGUUGUACCCUGGGAAAGCUUUAUGCAAAAGAUGAUUUAUGAGAGGUGUUUGAUGAAGGAAAAGGGCAGACAGGUGGAGAGGAGAAGCCAGGGGAUGGGGGGAAGUUUGGCGGGGAAUAGAGGGCUUGGCAUUGCAAGAAUAAGUGUCAAGUGACAUGGAGGGGUAAGUGGAAUUUAC